rnacentral:rRNA from 1 species
AUUGAACGCUGGCGGCAGGCCUAACACAUGCAAGUCGAGCGGAGCGGCGGACGGGUGAGUAAUGCCUAGGAAUCUGCCUGGUAGUGGGGGAUAACGUCCGGAAACGAGCGCUAAUACCGCAUACUAUCAGAUGAGCCUAGGUCGGAUUAGCUAGUUGGUGGGGUAAAGGCCUACCAAGGCGACGAUCCGUAACUGGUCUGAGAGGAUGAUCAGUCACACUGGAACUUCGACACGGUCCAUACUCCGACGGUGGGCAGCAGUGGGGAAUAUUAGACAAUGGGCGAAAGCCUGAUCCAGCCAUGCCGCGUGUGAGAAGAGGGUCUUCGGAUUGUAAAGCACUUUAAGUUGGGAGGCGAAACCAACAGAAUGAGCACCAGCUAACUUCGUGCCAGCAGCCGCGGUAAUUC